rnacentral:rRNA from 1 species
GCCGGAAGGUGUAGCGAUACAGCGGAGGGGUACCUCCCGGCGAACGGGUGAGUAACGCGUGGGCAAUCUGCCCCCGGGGGCGGGAUAACAGACCGAAAGGCCUGCUAAUACCGCAUGAAGCCGUCCUAUCGCAUGAUAAGACGGUAAAAGGGGAAACCCGCCUGGGGAGGAGCCCGCGUCCCAUUAGCUAGUUGGUGGUGUAAAGGACCACCAAGGCGAUGAUGGGUAGCCGGCCUGAGAGGGUGAACGGCCACAUUGGGACUGAGACACGGCCCAGACUCCUACGGGGGGCAGCAGUGAGGGAUUUUCGGCAAUGGGCGAAAGCCUGACCGAGCGACGCCGCGUGAGCGAAGAAGGCCUUCGGGUCGUAAAGCUCUGUCUAGGGGGAAGAGGAAGGACGGUACCUCUGGAGGAAGCCACGGCUAACUACGUGCCAGCAGCCGCGGUAAUACGUAGGUGGCGAGCGUUGUCCGGAAUUACUGGGCGUAAAGGGCGCGCAGGCGGCGCGUUAAGUCCGGGGUGAAAUCCAUCGGCUCAACCGGUGGGGGACCUUGGAUACUGGCGCACUGGAGUGCGGGAGAGGGAAGCGGAAUUCCACGUGUAACGGUGAAAUGUAUAGAUAUGUGGAGGAACACCGGUGGCGAAGGCGGCUUCCUGGACCGUAACUGACGCUGAGGCGCGAAAGCUGGGGGAGCGAACAGGAUUAGAUACCCUGGUAGUCCCAGCCGUAAACCAUGAACACUAGGUGUGGGGGGUAUCGACCCCUUCCGUGCCGCAGCCAACGCAAUAA